AUUGAACGCUGGCGGCAGGCCUAACACAUGCAAGUCGAACGAGUGGCGGACGGGUGCGUACUGUCUGGGAAACUGCCUGAUGGAGGGGGAUAACUACUGGAAACGGUAGAUAAUACCGCAUACCAUCAGAUGUGCCCAGAUGGGAUUAGCUAGUUGGUGGGGUAAAGGCUCACCAAGGCGACGAUCCAUAGCUGGUCUGAGAGGAUGACAAGCAACACUGGAAAUGAGAACCGGUCCAGACUCCAAGGGGAGGCAGCAGUGGGGAAUAUUGCACAAUGGGCGAAAGCCUGAUGCAGGCAUGGCGGGUGUAUGAAGAAGGCAUUCGGGUUGUAAAGUACUUUCAGCGGGGAGGCGUUACCCGCAUAAGAAGCACCGGCUAACUCCGUGCCAGCAGCCGCGGUAAUUC
rnacentral:rRNA from 1 species